CUCAUCUUUUUGAGACAUUCCCUGAAAAAAGAUCAUAUGAACGAGACAAUAUUCAGAGUUAGCAGAACAUUUCUUAAUGUAAUCGAUGAAGACAAAUUUUGUGAUAUGUGAAGCCUACUCACUAGUAUACCAUGUCUUUUAGCUAUGGAUAAAUUUCUAUCUUGUAGCCAUAUUGUUUGAACCCCAUCUCAUUCACAAGACUAGAGAUAUGCUUAAGAAUGAUGGUUGGAUAGACUUUUUACUUCAAUAUUUGAAGAUAUCUUCACACUCAAAUUGAUCAAUGGAUCCCACAUAACUUAUAGUACUAUUGUCAUAGUGCAGUUGAGAGAUAUGGGAAAAAGAUAGAUCACCAUUGGUUAGAACAAUAGAACAUAAUCAUUCAUAUGCUGAUACACAAGUCAUAUGAAGUGGUUGUCUACAGGCUAAAAGAGUGUUAAGAGAAGUCUAUGGUAUGGAACUAAUGUAUAACACUCACACUUGCUACCUCUAAAUGUCCAAGCAACCCCAAAUCUCUAUUGCAGAGAAGAAAUUCAAAAUCCAUGGUAAUGAUAUGCAAGACCUUUUUUCAUCAAGGAUGGAUAAUAGUGUUGAGCUUCAUUAAAUUGUUCUUAUUUAUAGGCACAAAUUCUCAUGUUUUUCUUAGAUUGUUCAAUCAAUAUAGAACCCCAUAAUUGUCACUAGCAUAUGUUUGAAAGAUAAACUAUCUGUUAUCAGGAAUCAUUAAAAGAAGAAGUGAUUGACAAUUCAUCGUUGAUUCAUUUAAGGUUUUGUUGCUUCUACCGACCAUGUUAAAAAUUAAAAAUCCUUUCUUUAGAUACUUUGAAAUCUAACUUGUUAGCUUUGUAAGAUUCUAAAUAUGAUAUGCUGCAUAGUUGAUUCCCAAAAACUAUUGAAUUUGCUUUCUAUUUGAUAAACUCAUCAAUUAUACGUAUAAGAGAAUAAUAUAAGACUCAAUGGUUCUAAGGCUCGAUGAUCUACACACUACUAAGAAGUUCGUUUUAUAGGUACUAAGGGAAUCUCCUUUUACAAUGCACACCAUUACAUAUUAUCUUAAAGGAAUCUUAUUUUAUGAAUCACCACUACUUUAAGUUAUAUCUUUAUCACUAAGGAAUCCGCUUUACAAAUAAUCACACUAAUCAUUAAGUAUUAUAUAUGACUUCACACACUUGUCACUUAUUUAUUGAAAACUAUUCACCGUCAUUUCUGCUGGUACAAUCCAUUAUUGCCUUCGCCUAAUCUGAACUGUUAUCUAAGUCACUCCAUGCAGGGUUUCCUUUGUGGACAUAUUCUUCUUACGCUGCAAAUCUUUAAUCAAAUUCUUCAUCGGUGUCUAUACUCUCCAAUGAAGAACAUUACUAUUUGGAUUGUUUGGGUCGUCAUGGUGAUCAAUGACCUUUUUAAAGAUUAAAUAUUUAAUUUCAUGUACUAAGCAAGAGAUAAAAAAAAAAAUUGAAAGAUUGUAUAUGAAGGAGAUUCCCUCCAUAUACCAUCUUUCUAGUAGCUUUCCACUGCUUAAUGCCAUUAAGAAAACUAUUAUAAGUCCAGAAAGAAAAUUUGUCACAAUAUUCGAUUCUUCUUUUAUGUGUUUUACUUCAAAUUUAAAUGAUGAGAGGGAUUCAAACUCCCUUGCUAGUUGUGUGUCUGGAAUUUCUCUUCUUCUUUUUUUCUCUUAAACAACCAAUGAAGGUAUUUGUAAUAUGUUUUUCUUACAAAUCGAGUGUGAGAGAAAAAGAAUUGGAAUUUCUUGAUGCCUUUGAUAAUUGUUUAGACUUUUUUUUUAGAUGACGGGUGGUGAUGUUGAGUUUCACUGCAUUGGCUUGAUAUAUAUCCACAAAUUCUCAUGUUUCCAUUGGAUUCUUCAAUCAAUAUCGUUCUCUAAUAAUGGUUACUAGCAUCUGUCCGAAGGAUAAGCUGUCUUUUGUUAGGAAUCUUUAGCGAUAGAAAUGAUUGACAUUUUAACUUUAAUUCUUUUAAAGCCUUUGUCGCUUCUGCCAACCAUGAUAAAGAUCCUUUCUUUAAAUGCUUCGAGAUUUGGCUUGUUAGCUUUAAAAGAUUUUAGAUAUGAUCUGUUGCAUAACUAAUAAUACUAAAACAUUGUUAGAUAUGCUUCCUACUUGACAAUUCAUCAAGGAAUUAAGAUAUUUUCUUUGCAAUGUGUGGCUGUAGAAUGAUGUGUUCGUCUUUGAUGUGAAGUGCUAAAAAAAUAAUUUCUUCAAGGCCAAUCUUCAUCUUUGAUUCUGAUAACGCCAAACCAUACUUGUACGUCAGUUCUUUGAAUUUCAAAAGAUGUUCAACUUGUUCUUCUUCAUUGAUACUGAAAAUUACAGCAUCACCAAUGUAUAAUAGGCAAAAAUCUGAGAUGGGCUUGUAGACUUCAUCCAUUCUGUGCUGAAAUUCUAACGAAGCAUUCUUCAGUUCAAAUGGCAUAACAUUUUAUUUGUAAUGUCCAUGUGCCAUCACAAAUGUUGUUUUAUGUCUACCCUCAUCUUUUAUAUUAAUCUACCAAAAUCUUGACUUCACAUCAAACUUGGAAUAAAUUUUAGCAGAUGCUAUCUUUUUCAAAAGAUGAGUUCUUCUAAAUAUAUGAUAUCUAAUGUCUCAUAAGCAAUCAUUCAACUUCUUCUAGUCGAUGACAAAUCUCUUUUUUCUACGGACUUGUUCUAAACACUUAUUCAUAUAGAAUGCCGAGUUGGCGAUACAAUAACCAUAUGUUUAACAAGCAGAAGAAUGGGGAAGCACGAGUACAUCUUCCUCAUGCUCCAAUGGUAAAGACAAUUUGGAACAUUGAUAACAUCAAACCAAAAGAAAGAAACAAAUGCAAGAAUGAUACAAAGGAGAAUGUCAAAGAGCUCCACAACUUACAAAUAGAGCUGCCAUGCUUAGGCUUGUAGCAGACUUUAUUGGAUCAUUGAGAAGAUGGAGGACAAAUACUCUGACAUGAAUGCAAAAUGAGUACUUGUUAAAUAUAAAAAAAAAACAUGUGGUGCUAUUUUGGAUAACCUAACUCUAGAUUUUAUGGGAACUAGAGUAAGUAAAACUGAAAUAGUAGAAAAACAAUUUCUUCAAAGACUACUAUAUUGCAAGUACGUCUCUAUUUCCUUUUCAACAAACUAACAGACAAUUAAGAGAAUGUUCAUUCUCAAUAUGCCAGGUAUAGUAGCAAAAAUGCUUGAAGCAAAGUUUAAAACUGAAGGUCUCAUAAAUUUAUCAAAUUUCAACUUUGCAAAACUUUACCAAAUGACAAUAGAAUUGACUCAAAAUCAUUACAGAAAUCAAAAGCUGAAGAAGCACAUAAAGAAAACUUCUUCAUCCAAAUAUUGCAAUGAAAAGCCUAACAAGUAUAUAUGUCACGACUCAAGAACUUCAUGGAAUCAUGUGGUUGCCAAAGAAAAAUCCAUUGCAAGAAGAAAAAAAUAUUGGAAGCCAUAAAAAGGCAAAAAAAAAUAGUUUGUAAAAAAAAAAUUGAAGUUUCCAAAGAAAUCAGGGAAGUGUUUCAUUUGUGGCAAGAAAGGACAUUAUGUAAAGUGGUGCAAAUUAAAGAAAAUAGCUCCUUUGAAACUUUUGCAAGUGAUUGAAGAUAUGAACUGUCAUAAUGAAUAUUAUACAUGGUUUAAUAUGCCAACACAAGUUAGUUUUGCAGCAAUUGACUUGCAAUCUCAAGAGUCUGAUGCAACCAUGAAUCGAAUGAUUCCGAACCAUCUUCAGAAGAUGAACAAGUCUUUAUACUUUUUGAAGAACAGCAUGUUGAUCUUAUAAAGAAAUCAGGACCAACAUUUAGACCUUAUAUGAAAGUCAUUCUUCAACUCUCGAAUAGUAAACAAAUUGCACUCACUGCCUUAAUUGAUACCGAAGGAAUCUCGUCAAUUAUCCAUAGAAGCUGCCUACCUAGAAGAUACCAUAUGCCAACACAAGCUAGUUUUGCAGUUGCCAAUGUAGACCAAUUCUAUAGCCAUAAGUACACCAAGCCUAUUGAAAUUUUGCCUUUUGGCAAAAAAAUAUAAUUUCUUUGCUCAUGACCAAAUAGUAGAAGAUUUACUACUUGGGAAAGAAUUUUUUAGCCUCAUUGCUCCAUUUACAUUCCAUCCCAAAGGAUUUGGCUACAUAUCAAUCUUAUUGACAACAAGCCUUAUCUCUUUAUGAUACCAUGGGUUGAACAAUAAACCCUCUUUGGGAAGGGUAACAAAGGUAAAAUUCAAAAAGCUUUGGUUUAGAAAUUUAAAUUUCAACACAAAAAACUCCUACAAUGUGUGCAGAUAUUCUAAAUAAAUUAUGAUAUAGAGAAAAAUACUUUGUUUCACUACCAUACGAAGAAUGACGGGUUAUGUCACAUUAAACAGUCUCACAUCCAGGAAUUCCACAUGAUGAAGAACUAUACAAACAAGAAAUUCAAUUAUCAUUGAACCUCAAGCUUAUCAGGCUAUCCAGGUCUCAUUAGACCAGCCCAGCAUUUUAUGUGAAUAAGUAUUUAAAACAAGUAUGUGGAAAAAAAAAUAUUGGUCAUCGACUACAGGAAACUAAAUGAUUCCCUACAAGACAUUAGGUAUCCUAUAUAUAGAAGAACUCAUCUUUUGAAAAAGAUCGUGUAUGCUAAAAUCUAUUCUUAGUUUGAUAUGAAGGCAAUAUUUUGGCAGAUUGUGAUAAAAUAUGAGGAUAAGCGUAAAACAACAUUUGUAGUGCCAUAUAGAUAUUAUGAAUGAAAUGUUAUGCCAUUCAGACUAAAUAAUGCUCUAUUAGAAUUUCAGCACAGAAUUGAUGAAAUCUAUAAACUCAUCUUAGAUUUCUUCCUAGUAUAUAUUGAUGAUGCUUUAAUUUUCAGCAACAAUAAAAAAGAACACGUUGAACAUCUUUUCAAAUUCAAAGAACUGACAUACAUAAAUUGUUUGGCGUUAUCAGAAUCAAUUAUGAAGAUUGCCCUUAAAGAAAUUGGUUUUUCGGAACUUCACAUGAAAGACGGAAAUAUUGCAAAGAAAAUAUAUCAAUUUCCUAAUGAAUUAUCAAGUAGGAAGCAGAUCCAAUAAUUUUUUGGUUUUAUUAGUUAGACAGCAGAUCAUAUCCAAAAUCUUUCAAAGCUGACAAGCUAGAUUUAGAAGUAUCUAAAGAAAUGAACUUUAACAUGGUCAACAAAAGCAACAAAAACUUUAAAAGAAUUAAAGUUAAAAUGUCAAUCACUCCACCAUUAAAGAUUUCUAACAAAGGACAAUUUAUCAUCCAAACAGAUGCUAGUGAUAAUUAUUGCCAAUCACUCUUAAACUCCUCAAUAGAUACUAAUUAACUCAUAGUACUAUUGUCAUAGUACAGUUGACAGAUGUCUAGGGAAGGAACAAACCGCCAUUCAUAUGAUUUGUAAAACAUGACCACAAAAAUAAUGACACUGAUUCAAUGUGCCAUGAUUGUCUUAACGCCAAGAAAGCAUUAGCAGAGAUAUAUGACACUGAACCAAUGUACAAUACUCACAAUCAUCUUUCCUCACAAAUUCAGUCAACACCAGAUCUCCAUUUUAGAUACAAGAUAAAAAAAAUGCUCCUCUACAUAGAGACGAUGAAUCUAAAAUCGAAAUGAAGAAAAAAUAUGCUAAUUGGCUCAGUAAACAUGAUAGAUCACAAGAUAUCCAUCUAUGAGAACCUCAUCAGAUAAAAGAUUUAGAAGACCAGUUUGCAGAACUAGAUAACUGGCUAAAUUAUAAUGAGUGGCCGCAACCAGAGCAGCUACCACAAGAUGUUCCCCCUGCCUGAACCUAUGAAUAAUGAAGAAUUUGAUCAAAGAUUUACAACAUGGGAAAAAGAUUGUCCACAAGCAAAACCAUACAUUGAGUGACCCAAAUAGCAGUUCAGAUUAGGCGGAAGCAGUAAUUGACCGUACCAGCAGAAGCGAUGGUGAAUAAUUAUCAAUAAAUAAGUGACAAAUGUGUGAAGUCACAUAUAGUACUUAAUAAGUAGUGUGAUUAUCUAUAAAGUAGAUUCCUUAGAAAUAAGGAUAUAAUAUAAAAUAAUAGUGAGUCAUAAAGUAAAAUUCCUUUAAGAUAAAAUGUAAUGAUAUGAGUUGUAUAUAUUUCCAAUUAAAUUUUCAUCAACCAUGAGAUUCCAAUACAUGAUAAAAGGCGGCAUUGCUUUCCAUUGACAUUUGACUUAAAAAUAAUUAGACUAUUAUUAAAAACUACAUUACAUAACAGUUUUCAGGUGUAAAAGUGUUUUGCAUUCACAAUCAAUUAAAUUCAAGUAAUAAAAAAGAAAAUGAGUUAGUUUAAUAAAAUGUCUCAAGAAAGUAUACCAAAACUAAGCCAAAAUACUUCAGUCCAUAAUGUCCAUAUUAAAACUAAACAAUAUGUCUUGAAGCAUAAUAUCCUCAUAAUAUAUAAAAUGUUGUAUCCAAUCAAAUGUGUAUACAAUAUAUGGUAUAUGUUAUACACAUGCAUAAUAACAAAAUAUGAGUAAUACAUAAUCUCAUUUAAGUUGCAACUUAUAAUACAAACCAGAACUCCUACCGACUUAGCAAAUAAAAGAGGAUUCUAACAAUCCCAUAUGAGUCACAUGUUCCCUUAACACUUUUGGAGUUAAAGCUUUAGCAAGUAGAUUGGCUAACAUGAGUUCUAUAGGUAUGUACUCUAUUGAUAUAUAAGAUAAAGCAAUUUGCUCUUCUAUAAAUAAGUAUUUAACAUUAAUAUGCUUGAAGCAUAAAGAAGUCCCAGUAUCGUGAUAGAAAGAAAUAGCUCCAGAAUUAUCAUAGUAUAUUUUCAAUGGCCUCUAUACAUUCAACAAAAAAUCUAGCCUUGUGAUAAAAUUAUGUAUCCAUAAAGGUUGAAGUAUAGCCUCAAAACAUGCUAAUAUCCUGCCUCCAUAGUUGAAGAAGUUAUGAGUGUUUGUUUGGCACAUUUCCAUGAUAUGACUUCUCUUAAUAUCAUAAAGAUGUAACCAGAUGUAAAUUUCUUAUCUUCCAAACAUCCUGCUAAAUCAGUAUCAGAAUACCUAACUAUAUUCAAAUAGUUGUAUUGUUGAUACGUCAACGGAAAAUCUUUGAUGGCUUGCAAAUAUCUGAGCACUUUUUUUGUAACCUUCUAAUGUUCAUAUCUAGAAUUGCUCAAGUAUCUCUCAAGUACUCCAAUCGAAAGCAAUAUUAAGGCGAGUACAGACUUGAGCAUACAUCAGGCUACCCAUAACUUAUGCAUACAUGAUUGUUUGCAUUCUACAUUUAUCUAUAUCAUCAACUGGACAUUGAGACUUAGAAAGUUUGUCACCCUUUGAAUUAGUGCUUUUGUAGGAGCACAAAACUCAGAAUACGAUCAAUAUAGGACUUUUGAAACAAUCUUAGAACUGAUUUGGAUCUGUCACCAGGAAUCUUUAUCCUUAAUAUAUAAUAGGCUUCAGCAAAAUCCUUCGUAUCAAAAUUAUAUGACAACAUCUAUUUUGUCCUUAAGCAAGAUAUCAGUGUCAUUAGCGGUGAGCAAUAUGUUAUUUACAUAAAGCACCAAAUUGAUAUAUAUGCUCCCAUUAACCCUCACGUAUAUACAUUCAUCAAUAAUGUUCCUCUUGGAAUCCAUAAGAGAUGGCAAACUCAUAAAAUUUCAAGUACUGCUGUAUGGAUGCCUAUUUAAAUCCAUAAAUGGACCUUUUAAGCUUACCACCAUGUUUUCUUUACCAGGCUCAACAAAAUCAUCAGGUUACACCAUGUACACGUCUUCAAACAAAAUUCCAUUAAAAAAGCAAAAUUUACAUCCAUCUGAUGCAGUUUUAUAUUAGAAUGAGCUAUUAAUGUCAUUAUAAUUUGGAAUGAGUCCAUUAUAAAAACAAGAGAGUAGGUUUCUGUGUAAUCAAUACCUUCUCUCUAAUUGAAUCCCUUAGCCACAAGCCUAGUUGUAUCUUCCUACUUGACCUUUGGCAUUUCUCUUGGUUUUGAAAACUCAUUUGCAACCAAUUGGUUUACAUCCAUCUAGCAAUUCAACUAAAUACCAAGCCCCCUUGUGGUACAUAUAUGUCAUUUCAUCAUAUAUUACGUGUCCAAGAUGAGGAUUUUGAACAACUGAUGGCCUCCUUAAAGGUAACAGGAGCAAAUGAUAAGUCAUCAUCAAAAUCAUGUUUUUUUUAAAUAAACCACAUAAUCAUAAAAAAUUGCAGGUCUCCUAACCCUCUCGGAUCUCCUCAAUUGCACAUUAGCAACAUCAUCCUCUACAGCCAUAGGCUCCAAAUCAUGAUGAGUUUUAGAAUUAACAAAAGAAACAUCAAUAUGUGGUAAUCUCAGUGCAGAGAUCGAAAAAGAUAUGACAGGCAAAACCACAUAUACUUCUCUCAAUAUAAGAUUGUGAGCUCAGAACUUCCACUAUUAUGAUCAUCUUCAAAAUAAAUGGCAUGAUUAAGCUCAAUGAUUCUAGUAGUGUGGGAAAGACAAUAAAAUCUAAAACCCCUUGAGUUUAUUCAACAACCAAUAUAAUGACCACUGAUAGUUUUCGAAUUAAGUUUCUGUGAUUGCAGAUUAUAACGCCUCACUUUUGCUCUACAUCCCCAGAUAUUGAAAAGAAGAAGACUCAGCUUCUUGCCUAACUCUAAUUCAUAAGGAGUUUUGAGCACUAACUUGCUGGAUACAUGAUUCAAAAUGUAAGUUGCGGCUCUUAAGGCUUAGCAUACACCACACCAUGUUAAGAAGGGUACGAUCUCUUUUUUCUGCAAUUCUAUUCUGUUCAAGAGUCACAGGCAUUAUGUACUGAGCUUAUUUUCUAUAUUCCAUAAGAUAUCUAACUAAAGAUCUAGGAUUACACAAAGUUUCAUCAUAUCGCCCAUAGUACUCACCAUCUUUGUCUGAUCUUACUACUUUAAUUUUCCUGUCCUUUUGGAAUUCAAAAUUAACCUUAAAAUCUUGAAAAGCAUAUAAGAAUUUAGACUUUUCAGAAAAAAGUUCAACAUGACUAUCAUAGGAAAAGUCAUCGAUGAACAUGAUGAAGUAUUUAUAACCUCCAAUAGUGACAAGAGUAAACUGCGCACAAAUGUUUGUAUAUGUCAACUCCAAAACCUGUUGACUUUUUUGAGUCCUCUCUUUUUUGUUUUGUUAGUAAGUUUGCCCUUGACACAAUCAACAGAAGUGUCAAAAUCAGAGAAGUCUAGAUUAUGGAGAAUAUAAUCUUUCAUGGGCCUUUCCAUCCUCUAUUUGGAAAUGUGACCUAAUUGUUUAUGUCACAACAUAAAGGAAUUUUCACCAACCCUCACACGAUUAGAGCUAACAACAUUCAUAACAUGAGCAUUGGACGAUGAUUUAGUAGGAGGAAAUAAAUUAAUUAUAUACAAGUCAUCAUAUAAAAUGCCAGAACCAACUAGCUCCGAAUUGCAGAAUAAGUAAAUUUUCUUGUCACUAAAAUGAAAAGUAUAACCACAUUUAUCCAAAAUAGUUAUAGCUAUCAAGUUUCUCCUAAUAUAAGGAAUAUAAGUAGUAUAUAAUAUAUUCAAAAAUUGCUUGUUGCUGGAUAUAAUAUCACAACUAUUAUGCUUUCAACUCUAGCUUUCACUCUAUUGUUUAUGAAUUCCAACCACUAAGUAUUAGAAGGAACAUUGGUAAUGUUAGAUUUAAAGCUCGCAAAAGCUACAUGAAUACCUUUCUUUUCUAGCUAGCUUUGAAUCUCCUGCAUGCAUCUUUCUUUUGCCCAAAUUUCCUAUAAAAAUGGCACUUUUCUUUAAGGCCUUCAGAAGCAUAACAAGAAGUGAUGUUAGAAUUACCACUUGAAGCUUUCUUUCCAAACUUUUACUUCUCCUUAAAAGGCUUGUUACUGCCCUUUGAAAUGCUUUUCUUCACACUUUCACUCUUUUAAGUAUUAGCCAUCAUGGUAGUGUGAGAUUUGCCUUUCUUCAAUGAUUCUUCUUCAUGUACCACAUGAGCAAUUAACUCAUUGAUCUUCCAAGUGUCUCUCUGGGUAUUGUAUUGCCUUCUCAGAUUGCCAAACUGUGGUGGAAGAGAUUCAAGAACUUGGUAGACUAAGUAGUCAUCAAGCAAGUUAACAUCCAUGUCUUUCAACUUCUUAUAGUAACUAGUCAUCUUAAGAAUGUGUUCUCUCACCCUAGAAACAUUAUCAUAAUGGGCAUUGGCAAGCAACCUUAAAUAGUUACAAUUUUCAACCUUGUUUACCUUCUUGAAAUUUCUUCCAACAACUAUCAAGUAAUCUUUAACAUUCUCACAUGCAGAAAUGUUAUCUCUAAUUGUUCUAUCAAUGAUGUAUCUCAUUGUGCCCAGAUAGUGUCUAUUAGAAUCAUCCUAAGCCAUCCAUUCUGCCCUUUCGGCAACAGUGCUCUUAUAUGUGGGCUUGAAUGGUUCCUCCGCUCUCAACGCCAAGUCUUUGUUCAAUAUAGAUAGGUAAAACAUAAUAGACUCACACUAGUCCUCAUAGUUUGUCCCAAUUAGAAUUUUGAUGGAGGCAACUUGAAGAAAAGAAAGAAUAUUUAGAGUUGAGGAAUCAAAAACAAGUAAUAUUAAACACGUGAAAACAAAAUCAUGCUUUAGACAAUGAUUCCUCAUUCUAAGUUUCUUCAAUGACAACACAAUUUGUUAGGUAUCCUUUAAUAAUAUAGAAGUGUUCUAACCCAAAGAUGAAGCAGAUAAGUAAAAUAUAACAUUAACAUUGACCUAUCACCGACAGAGUAAUUAAGUCAUUCAGUAAAGAAUACCCAACAAAUCUCUUUGUCUAUCCAAGCGUCCUACUAAGUUUAUCAUGAUUGAUCCUACGACAAGUAGACAACACUUGCUCUAAAUUGAAGUUUGGCCAUAAAUAUACUUUUAUACAUUAAUAAAUUUGAGACUAAAUAUAUUUUAUACAACACAAUUAAAGUUUUCACUAAGAUAUCAAAUUAAAUAAAAUAUCUAUAUGCCUCAACAAAAUAUAUGAAUAUCAUGCCUAUAACACAAAAGAAUGACGGAUUAUUGUAUAUUAAAAUUUCUAGAAAAUCACAAAAAAUUGUAAAAGUUUUAGACUAAAAUAAAGAAUUUUCUGAACUAAAAAAACUUUUUUUAAUACUAAAACUUUUGGCCCAAAUUGUAAAUAAAAUGAAAAAGUAUCCAGGCCACAACAUAAUUUUCAAAACAUUAGAAACACAAUGAUAUUUUGCCAUAUUUGGAAAUGAUGACUUUCGGCCAAGGACCUUUCUGAAAGAUUUACAAACAUAUUGAGCGACAACAAAAUUUCUGUAGGUAAAUAUUUCCUCAAAAUUGGGCCAUAAAAAAAUUUACAUAAAUAUAAGGAUCCGACGAUAAUUUCACUGUACUUUAUCUUCUUCCUCACGAUGGAGCUCCAGUUAUCUACAAUAAGCUACAGUGAACUUUGUUCCAACAACCCAAUAUUGGCCACCAAAAAUUAUGAAAAAAUCAUAUGUUUACUCCACAAACAUCACCCACAUAUUAUUUAACAACCAUUUACUCAAAUAUGCCCAAAAUUAAAAAAUCCGAUAAAGAAAAAUGUCAUGGGUGAGCCAAAGUUUGAUUCAUCAACAAAAUUCGUCAUGGUUUACAAAGAAAUGUAUAACCAUAAACUCUUAUACCAAUUACUGUAAUAAAUUUGAGUUUUAUGUCCUUAAUCUUGCAUUUCUAAUUAAACACAUGCAUUGAGUAAAAAUUCAAAAUUUACCUUGAUUAGCCAUGAAUCUGAGCUUGUGGACUUGUUAUGAAGAUUCUACAGGUUGCCACUAACUGAAUCCAAACCAUUGCAACUUGUUGCCUUUCCUCAACCCAUGAUAUGAAUGAUUUGCACAGCCACUGCACACACACAAACGGCAGAGAACGAGAGACACUCAUAGCCCAUAUCUAUGAACAGUAAACUUCAAACAGGUUCCAAUCACUUAAGUUUUGUAACCGAAGCUCUCGCAUGUUAAUACAAAAUUACUCAUUUAAUUAUGAGUUAAAAUAAUAUA
rnacentral:lncRNA from 1 species